rnacentral:rRNA from 1 species
GAUUAACGCUGGCGGCAUGCCUAAUACAUGCAAGUCGAACGAAAGUAGCAAUACUUUAGUGGCGAACGGGUGAGUAACACGUAUCUAACCUACCAUUUAGUGGGGAAUAACUGUUGGAAACGACAGCUAAUACCGCAUAUGUUAUUUAUUUGCAAUGAUAAAUAAUGAAAGGAGCAUUUGCUUCUCUAAUUGAUGGGGAUGCGGCGCAUUAACUAGUUGGUAAGGUAAUGGCUUACCAAGGUAACAAUGCGUAGCCGAUCUGAGAGGAUGAACGGCCACAUUGGGACUGAGACACGGCCCAAACUUCUACGGAAGGCAGCAGUAGGGAAUUUUUCACAAUGGGCGAAAGCCUGAUGGAGCAAUGCCGCGUGACUGAUGAAGGUCUUCGGAUUGUAAAGGUCUGUUGUAAGGGAAGAAGUGCUAGAAUAGGAAAUGAUUUUAGUAUCGACCAUACC